rnacentral:rRNA from 1 species
UACCGAGGGUGCGAGCGUUAAUCGGAAUUACUGGGCGUAAAGCGCACGUAGGUGGCUUGGCAAGUCGGGUGUGAAAUCCCCGGGCUCAACCUGGGAACUGCAUUCGAGACUGCCUUGCUAGAGUAUGGGAGAGGGAAGUGGAAUUUCCGGUGUAGCGGUGAAAUGCGUAGAUAUCGGAAGGAACAUCAGUGGCGAAGGCGACUUUCUGGACAAAUACUGACACUGAGGCACGAAAGCAUGGGGAGCAAACAGG